rnacentral:rRNA from 1 species
GAUGAACGCUAGCUACAGGCUUAACACAUGCAAGUCGCGGGGCAGCAUGGGGGUUGCUUGCACUCCCCGAUGGCGACCGGCGCACGGGUGAGUAACGCGUAUCCAACCUGCCCUUCACCACGGGAUAACCCGGCGAAAGUCGGACUAAUACCGUAUGUUGUCCAUUGACGGCAUCCGAUUUGGACGAAAGGGUUGGCGGUGAAGGAUGGGGAUGCGUCCGAUUAGCUGGACGGCGGGGUGACGGCCCACCGUGGCGACGAUCGGUAGGGGUUCUGAGAGGAAGGUCCCCCACACUGGAACUGAGACACGGUCCAGACUCCUACGGGAGGCAGCAGUGAGGAAUAUUGGUCAAUGGGCGUAAGCCUGAACCAGCCAAGUAGCGUGCAGGAUGACGGCCCUAUGGGUCGUAAACUGCUUUUAUGCGGGGAUAAAGUGGCCCACGUGUGGGUUUUUGCAGGUACCGCAUGAAUAAGGACCGGCUAAUUCCGUG